rnacentral:rRNA from 1 species
UACGGGGGGAGCAAGCGUUGUUCGGAUUUACUGGGCGUAAAGGGCGCGUAGGCGGCCAGCACAAGUCAGUUGUGAAAUCUCCGGGCUUAACUCGGAAAGGUCAACUGAUACUGUGCGGCUAGAGUGCAGAAGGGGCAACUGGAAUUCCGUGUGUAGCGGUGAAAUGCGUAGAUAUACGGAGGAACACCUGCGGCGAAGGCGGGUUGCUGGGCCAACACUGACGCUGAGGCGCGAAAGCUAGGGUAGCAAACGGG